rnacentral:lncRNA from 1 species
AACUAUGCAAAUGAUAGGCAGGUUAGCCAGAAAGGACGGGAAAAGUAGCAUUUCCCAGCUAACGAAGAGUUUUGUCCAGGAUGGAGUCGCGUGCACGGAAUCAAGUGUUUUGUUUCUUGGAGUCUGACUUGGAGGGCAGAGCUUAUCCAUCCCUAGUCAAAACCCUCUGUAAAGGAGCUGGAUAAUUUUGCGUGGAGAAGGAUUUCUCUGGCCCGGUGUCUCUACCAGAGCGGGGAAAUGAAAGACAAGCCAAGACUCUGUCAAGACAAAUGGGAGAGAACCUACUCCUCUGCUGGACGUGAAGCACAUGUCCCGGUUUAACAGGCAAACCAGACGAUGCUGAGUCCUCACACCUGAUCUCGUUCGUUCUGCCUUCCUCCCUGGCCCGGCAGGCAGGUGCGUGUCGAGUCCAUCGAAGACGUUCUCUGCAGAAAAGCGUUCUGGAGGGAGGCACAGAUUUGGGAGGUUAAUUGACAACCUGAAGCCUGACUGUGACUCCUCGGGGGGCCUGUUGACCUCAGGUGAGACCCCUUGUCCUAGAGGGAGGACAGUCUUGAGGGGUAAAUUCUGCUUUCAGUGUUGUACGGUGCAUUUCUUACUGGAACUGGCCUAUGUGGUCAGAGGGUCACCCAUCAGAAGACUUUGGUGCUGGAAAAGACACUAUUUCACUAGUGCGGGGUAAGUUUCUUCAUCUCUUUUCUCCUCCCUCAAGAUGCCUUAACCUUCUGGCCUCCUGGUUUCUCAACACACACCAAGCCCGCCUCAGGAUCUUUGCACUGACUCUGAAAUGCUAUCCUGCAAUAUCCUCGUGGCCUUGAUCCUUCACUUUGCUCAGGUCUUUGCUCAAAGAGACCUCCUUUGCUUAUCGGUGAUUGUUUAUUUCCCCUGCUAUUCAUCCCAGCAUUUACCACUCUCUGAUGUCAUCAGUGUUUGUCAUUUGAUAUGUAUUUCAUGUCUCUCUUCCACUGGAAAUGUAAGAGGGACUCUGUUAUCUUUGCUCUUGUAUCUCCAAUGCUGAAAAUAGCUUCUGGCCCGUAGCAGACAUCUGACCUCAAGUUACCAAAUCAAUCAAUCAAUCAAAGGCAUCUGCAAGUAGGGAAAUGGAAACAGGUUCACUACCUUCUUUCUGGCCUGGAUCCAUUUCACUUUCUCAUCUUCCCUUGCUUGCCUGUGCUUCUCAGCUUAAUCUUUCGCUCAGCCUACGGACUCGGAUCUGCUACCAAGAGGCGCUUCGGCUCUCCCGGAGUUGCUCCUUCACCUCCAUGAGCCUAACCUCACAUCUCUUGUACCUGGUAGACGGCAUGUGAGAGACUCAACCACUCAACAACUGUUCUUGAGUGUGUAAAAUGUCCUAGGUCUUGUGGACAAGUGUGACUCAGUCCAGCAACAAAACCACCAGGAAGUCACUUUAGCAAAUGGGGGGAGAGAUGUGGAGGAACUCAGGGGGCCCUUGCAAAUAGCUGGGAAGCACAGGACCACCUUGGGAAGUCCAGAAAGGCUUCCUAGAAGAGGAGACCUUGAUCAAACCCCUUCACUUCUCUGGAUUCUUGUUUUCUCCUUAAAAAAUAAUUUUUUUUGGACUUGAUGAGUGAUUAUGUUUCCUUCUCAUUCAAAUCACCUUCCACGCUCUGCUCCACGACGUCCCAAAGAGCAACUGAUGGUGUUAUCAGACCUAAGCCUGGGCAGCUUCUAGGUAUGUUUGAUUUUCCAGAGGAGGUCACGAAGGUCAAGGCCUGGUACGAUGAUGUGGUAAGCAGAACAGGCAGAAGAAAUACCUAUCAGUAAAUAACAAACACGGCUCCUGACUCAGUCAUGGAAUUCUGAGAAGUAGCAGCACCCAGUGAACCAACCUGGAGAUUGGCAAUCAUGGGUGAAACUAACUUUAACCAAAGGCGUGUGGCAGAGCUACAAAAGGCAGGCUCUGAACCCUACAGGCAGAAGCCACCUCCUCAAGUCGCAGGACAGCUUCCAUAUACACGCCUCAUGGAAAGACCAGCUGAUCACGUAUACAGGCCUUUUUUGCUUUCCUAGCCCAUUAGAUUAUAAUGAUCCUGCCCUGCCAUAAAGGAAAGCAAUAUAAUAUCACCACCUCGCCUUUAUAGGAUGGCUUUAAUCUCUCCUCACCAAUAUGUCACAGCAUAUACCUGACCACUGAUGGUUGGCUAUAAGAAGAACCAACCAUAGAUAUAGAAAAGAAAUAUCUACUUUACCUGUAAGGAAAUUAAACCAAAGUAGAUUAAGUAGGUUUCUGCACUCGGAAACAAACCAUCCUUUGGAAAACAGCAUGGGGUAUGGUAUGAACAGUGAAAACUUUCUAAGUGGAAAAGUAGCUUGGAGGGUGAGUUGCUCUUAAAAUAGGUCAUUCAGAAGUUCCCACUGUGCUACAGUAGGUUAAGGAUCUGGCGUUGCCACAGCUGUGACUCAGAGUCAGUCCGGGCCUGGGAACUUCAGUAUGCUGUGGGUGCAGCCAAAAACAAACAAAAAACAGUGAAAAAUUAAAAUUUAAAAAUAAACAAAUAGGAGUUCCCGUUGUGGCGCCGCGGAAACGAAUCCGAAUUGGAACCAGGAAGUUGAGGGUUUGAUCCCUGUCCUCCCUCAGUGGGUUAAGGAUCUGGCAUUGCCAUGGGCUGAGGUGUAGGUUGCAGGUGCAGCUUGGAUCCCAUGUUGCUGUGGCUCUGGCGUAGGCCGGUGGCUAUAGCUCCAAUUAGAACCCUAGCCUGGGAACUUCCAUGUGCCGUGAGUGCGGCCCUAAAAAGACAAAAGACAAUAAAUAAAUAAAUAAUAGGUCAUUCAAAUCACUGAAAGUGCUAUUCCAACAAAUGUGGCUGUUAACUUUUCAAAGAUUAUUUACAAUGUUUAAACCUAGGCUAGGGAUAAAGAAUCCAGGGGGGAGAGUUGAAUUCUUCCUGUUUUGUUUUAAAAUACUGCCAAUGAAGAAAUUGUUACAUUUCAAUAUGUGCCAACAAUUCCAAAGAUAAACACUAAAGUCACAUCUUAUUUAUUUUAAAAUACUAAAAACCAGAAACUCUGUUUAGAAAUGACUCUGUGAGCAUCAUGAAUGGUAAAAUCCUACCAUUUUCCCUUUGGCUUUUCCAGCGCUUGCUAGAAAGGAGAUUUUUAUUGCAUCUUCUCUUUUUCUCUUCCAUUUUUAAAACAAAUCUUAAAAAAGGCAAUGUUUUCUAACAAUGCCAUCAGGCAAAUCUUUGUCUUUCAUGACAUAAAAUUUUUAGCCAAAGUCUAUGUGCAAUGCCUUCUACUUUGCCACAACCACCAAAUUUCUUCUGCCCCAUGUUCACUGUCAGCCAAAUUAACUGCAUUGUAAUCUGUUCACUGCAGCCCUUAAAUGGACAAAAAUAAAGAUGGCAUAAUAAAAAUGUCACAAUAAAGAUGGUAUGAAUAAACAAAUAUCACUAUUAGCACCUGGGAAAUCAGAAGACAGUUAUAAUAUGCCAACAUCUCACACAAAGACCAUCACAAAAGAAUAAGACACCUGCUACCAAAGCCCACUCAACAAGAAAUGGAUAACCUGUAUAGCCCUAUUUCUACUAAAAAAAUAGACUCCAGAUUCAGAAGGCUUUAUUGGCAAAGUUUACCAAACAUAUAAUGAAGAAACAACACCUAUUCUACAUAGACUUUUCCAAAAAAUAGAAGUGGGAACAUUUCAUAACUCAUUCUAUGAGGCCAGCACUAUCUAGAUAUCAAAGAUAGGUAAGACAGGAAACUAUACACCAAUUUCUCUCAUGAGCAUAGUAACAAAAUAUUGUAAUUGAACACAGUAAUCUAUAAAAAAGAAAAUAUAUCGUGACCCACUGGGGUGUAUUCCAGAAAGGCAAAGGUGGUUCACUACUCAAAAUCAACCAGUAAAAUUCACAAUCUCAACAGACUAGAAUAGUAAAAUCACAUAAUUAUCUCAAUAAUGUUUAAAAAGCAUUUAUAAAGUUCAGGAUCCAUCCGUUAUAAAAAAAAUCUCAGCAGGCUUGGAACAGACUUUUCUGGCAAGACUUUUCUACCAAAAAGAAAAAAAAGGUAACAUCAUUCCUAAAGUUAAAGAUUGAAUGUUUUGCCCCUAAGAUUGGGAACAAUAUGAAUUUGUCUCAAAAGCAAUAUGCUAAGUAUGAGACGCCAGACACAAAAAUCUACAUAUUAUAGAAUUCCAUUUACGUGCUAUUCUGGAACACAGGUCAAAUGGUGCCAGGAAAUGAGGACGGGUGACAAAAUUGACUGCAAAGAGCAGGAGGGGAUGUUUGGAGUUGUUAGAAAUUCUAUAUCUUAAGGCAGCAGUUACAUGACUAUAUACAGUCAACAAAAUUCAUUGAAUGGUACACUGUAAAGGAGUAAAUUUUAUUUUAUAUGAAUUAUUCCCUAAGAAACCUGACUCUAUAAAAAGGUAAAACUAGAAAAGAACCACCUCGGAAGAGAACAAAAAGGAGGGAAAGCUGGUGUACAGCUUUAUUCAGGCUAAGUCGGUGUACAUGCAAGACUCCAUCAGUAAAUAACAUUGGGAAGACAAGCGAGUUAAGAGUGAUUUUUUUUUUUUUUAAUCUACAACUAAAAGGUCUAGGCACACAUCCCCACUUUAAUGCAGCUUAUAAAGAAAAAGAAUAGUUCAGGUUCAGUGAAAUUACAGAUAGGAGAAGAUACAGUUUUAUCUUUAGUACUAAAAACAGGUUUAAAAAUAGCACUCUUACCUAGAUCUUAAAUGUUCUCACCACAAAAAAGAUAAUAAUUACGCGAUGGAGUGAUAAUCCUGUAAUAUAUAAAUUACCAAUUCACACUGUACUGUCUAAAACAGUGUUACAUGUCAAUUAUCUCAAUUUUUAAAGUUAAAAAUAUAAAUAAAUG